CCAGACAGCCAGGAUGUUGGCUUAGAAGCAGCCAUCAUUUAAAGAAAGCGUAAUAGCUCACUGGUCGAGUCGGCCUGCGCGGAAGAUGUAACGGGGCUAAACCAUGCACCGAAGCUGCGGCAGCGACGCUGAUGCGUUGUUGGGUAGGGGAGCGUUCUGUAAGCCUGUGAAGGUGGCCUGUGAGGGUUGCUGGAGGUAUCAGAAGUGCGAAUGCUGACAUAAGUAACGAUAAAGCGGGUGAAAAGCCCGCUCGCCGGAAGACCAAGGGUUCCUGUCCAACGUUAAUCGGGGCAGG
rnacentral:rRNA from 3 species